AAGAGGCGGGGCAGCCGUACCGUUGGGGGACACCCUUUCCCUGUUCCUGUUAAGUAGCCUCCCAUUUCCUGGCGGGUGCGCGGGGGCGGCCCGGCGGAGACCACCUGGCUGGGAGAAGGCGGAGGAGGCGAUGGCUACUAUCCCUCUGGAGGCGCCUGGCCAGAGCCUGGUCGAGCCGGAGGAAGCCACCAGGAGCAGCCACCAUAUCCUAGCUACAAUUCUAACUAUUGGAAUUCUACUGCGAGAUCUAGGGCUCCUUACCCAAGUACAUAUCCUGUAAGACCAGAAUUGCAAGGCCAGAGUUUGAAUUCUUAUACAAAUGGAGCGUAUGGUCCAACAUACCCCCCAGGCCCUGGGGCAAAUACUGCCUCAUACUCAGGGGCUUAUUAUGCACCUGGUUAUACUCAGACCAGUUACUCCACAGAAGUUCCAAGUACUUACCGUUCAUCUGGCAACAGCCCAACUCCAGUCUCUCGUUGGAUCUAUCCCCAGCAGGACUGUCAGACUGAAGCACCCCCUCUUAGGGGGCA
rnacentral:sRNA from 1 species